rnacentral:rRNA from 1 species
AGCGCAGGCGGUUUUUUAAGUCUGAUGUGAAAGCCUUCGGCUCAACCGAAGAAGUGCAUCGGAAACUGGGAGACUUGAGUGCAGAAGAGGACAGUGGAACUCCAUGUGUAGCGGUGAAAUGCGUAGAUAUAUGGAAGAACACCAGUGGCGAAGGCGGCUGUCUGGUCUGUAACUGACGCUGAGGCUCAAAGGUAUGGGUAGCGAACA